rnacentral:rRNA from 1 species
AACGAACGCUGGCGGCAUGCCUAACACAUGCAAGUCGAACGAGACCUUCGGGUCUAGUGGCGCACGGGUGCGUAACGAGUGGGAACCUGCACUUAGGUUAGGAAUACCUCACCGAAAGGGGUGCUAAUACCGGAUAAUGUCUUAGGACCAAAGAUUUAUUGCCUUUGGAUGGGCCCGCGUUGGAUUCGUUAGUUGGUAGGGUAAAAGCCUACCAAGGCGACGAUCCAUAGCUGGUCUGAGAGGAUGAUCAGCCACACUUGGAAUGAGGCACGGCCCAGUCUGCGACGGGAGGGAGCAGAAGGUAACAUUGGAGGAUGGGGGAAAGCCUGAUCCAGCAACGCCGGGUGAGUGAUGAAUGGCGUAGUGUAGUAAAGCUCUUUUACCCGAGAUGAUAAUGACGGUACCGGGUGAAUAAGCUCCGGCUAACUCCGUG